rnacentral:rRNA from 1 species
UUGGGCGUAAAGAGCUUGUAGGCGGUUUGCCGCGUCUGCCGUGAAAGCCCGGGGCUUAACUCCGGGUGUGCAGUGGGUACGGGCAGGCUAGAGUGCAGUAGGGGAGACUGGAAUUCCUGGUGUAGCGGUGAAAUGCGCAGAUAUCAGGAGGAACACCGAUGGCGAAGGCAGGUCUCUGGGCUGUUACUGACGCUGAGAAGCGAAAGCAUGGGUAGCGAACAGGAUUAGAUACCCUGGUAGUCCAUGCCGUAAACGUUGGGCACUAGGUGUGGGGGACAUUCCACGUUUUCCGCGCCGUAGCUAACGCAUUAAGUGCCCCGCCUGGGGAGUACGGCCGCAAGGCUAAAACUCAAAGGAAUUGACGGGGGCCCGCACAAGCGGCGGAGCAUGCGGAUUAAUUCGAUGCAACGCGAAGAACCUUACCAAGGCUUGACAUACACCGGACCGCUGCAGAGAUGCAGUUUCCCUUCGGGGCUGGCGUACAGGUGGUGCAUGGUUGUCGUCAGCUCGUGUCGUGAGAUGUUGGGUUAAGUCCCGCAACGAGCGCAACCCUUAUCCUAUGUUGCCAGCACGUGAUGGUGGGGACUCAUGGGAGACUGCCGGGGUCAACUCGGAGGAAGGUGGGGAUGACGUCAAAUCAUCAUGCCCCUUAUGUCUUGGGCUUCACGCAUGCUACAAUGGCCGGUACAGUGGGUUGCGAUGCCGUGAGGUGGAGCUAAUCCCUAAAAGCCGGUCUCAGUUCGGAUCGAAGUCUGCAACUCGACUUCGUGAAGUUGGAGUCGCUAGUAAUCGCAGAUCAGCAAUGCUGCG